UCUCUGAAUCUCCAUAUUUUCAUUAAAUUCCUUCUCUCUUCCACUGUUCAAGUUCAAUCCAGUAUAUAAAGUGACAUUAAUAGUGAAUAAACUAACAACCAGCCAUUGUAUUUAUUUAUUAUUGCAUGUAUUUGUGUAAAACAUGAGUUGAAACAUCCUGCUUUUGGAUCCAGAACUUCACAAGCCAUUCAUUUUCAGUCACGUGACGAGUUAAACUUCCCUUUUUAUGUGAUUUUGAAGCAGAAAGUCUGAGUUAACAAAGAAAGUUGUUUAUAAUUUGCGAUACCUGUUAUCUCUGACUGAGGCUUUAGUUUUUGUUGAGCUGAUUUACACGUAGAAACUUUGUUCAGGAAGAUUUCUCAGUAGCUCAGAGGACAGGCUGCUUUUUACACAGCCUUGUAAGAGAAUGUCUGUCAAUGCUUUCAGCAGAAUUUAGAAACACAACACUUCCUAAACAGAUAUUUUGAGGCUGUGAGGUUGAACAUUUGAGAGUCUAUCAGUGUGUUUGUUUGUGGUCUUUCUGUUUCUAGGUGGAAGCUGAAUUAGUGAGGAUGACUCCUGCUCCUGUCAUCUCUAAGCUCCUCACACAUCUUUACCUGCACAUGAGGAAAAUCACUCCUGUAGAAUGCAGGUAUGUUUGUCAUUAUUAUAAAAAGAUGUUGCCUGGUGACCUGUCAGAAACCCAUUAUACAGAGUCAGCCAAAAUAAUAUUUACACACAUUAGGAAAAGGAAAAACUAGCAUAAAUAUUUCAAUACCAAAUUUAUUCAGACAUCACCAGAUUAAUAAAAGUUAUCUUUGGCCUCUACAAUUACAAGAGGUGCUCAAAGUGGUGGCCACUGGCUUCCAGACAUUUCUGUUGUGUUGUAGAUGUCACUUGUUGAUGCUCCAUUCAUGAGGGUAGCGCCAUCUGUUGGGAAAACAUCGUACAACAGGACACAGAGUUAUCAUGAUUUGAUCAAACUUAGAAAGAGGUAUUUAUAUGUGUACAAGUACUUAUACAAAUGAAAUAUUUAUAAAAGUUUUUCUUUUCCUGAUGUGUGUAUACAUUAUUUUGGCUGACUCGGACUCUGUGAACUUAAUGAGAACAAAACUGUAAUUUAAUUGUUGCUUUAAAAGCUUCUUUAGUGAAAACCGGCUGGUGUUCUGCUUUGAAACAAACUGCUGUUGAGGUCUGUGUUUUUUAGGUUUAACCCCUCAGUUUCUGAAUUAACUGAUAGUUUGUUUUUUUUUCCUGAUCAAUGUGGACGUUAUAAUUGAUGGUAACAUUUACUGAUCAUAUAAUCAGCAUGACAAUAUAACAGUAGAACAUUCUGACCACCUGACUAAUACUGUGUUGGUCCCUUUAUGCUGCUAAAACUCCUCUGACCCAGUGGUUCAUCAGAACCUCUGGGGAUGUCCUGUGGAUUCUGUGGAUCUGUGGGUUGCAGGGUGGGUCCUACCUGGACCAGGCUGAUCCUGGACCAUCCCACAGAUGCUCCAUCAGAUCUGGAUGUGGGGAGUGUGGAACCCAGAUGUUCAGAGGGAGAUGAUGCCACAUCUGGUCCAGCUGAUGGAAGGUCUUGAAGUUCUCUGACUGGCCUCGACUGAAGAUGGUCCUCUCACUGGAUUAAGAUGUUAAGUUAAAGGUGGACAUAUAACCAAUCAAAUCACUCCAGAAGACAGAGCGACCACAGGCCUCCGUUGACUCGUCCCGCCUGCCAUCUCUGGAGCUGAAGCUGGAUUGGAACAGACCAAAGUACAGUCCAAUCACGAUGCCAGCUGCCUCUCAAAAGGCUCCUUCAUCUGGCAGGUGGCGGCACUUCUUCUGAGGGGAAGCUGAGCUGGCCCUGCAGAACUUUGGAGAUGUGUUCCAGUGGUUGGUGGAUGUGUGGGGAGAUAGAGAAGGACCUUUGAAUUGUUCAGAAAGGAAAACAGGGAACCCAUUGGUAGUUUUAGUUUAGGGUGCUACUGCGGUGUGUUUUUGGGUUUUAAGAGGUGAACAGGAAGAGGUUUUUUGGUAUUGAUUAUCUUUUACUUUGUUCCCAGUUGGAAUGCCCAUCAAUGUAAACAUGAAGUUCACUUUUAGUUCUGUUUAUUUAUUUUUAUUUUACUAACACCCAUUUGUUUUGUAACCCCCUCACAUGUUGUGUUGUUGUAAACUUACUCUUUCAAAUAAAUACUUGUCUAACCCUCUGGAAACCAGCGUUUGGACUGUUUUUGUGUUGCUCCUCACCAGACAGCUGGGACGUAACGUCUUGUGGACUAAAGGCUAUACUAUGCUGUUUUUAGAGCAACAUGCUAUACGCUG